GACGAACGCUGGCGGCGUGCCUAAUACAUGCAAGUUGAGCGAUGAAGAUUGGUGCUUGCACCAAUUUGAAGAGCAGCGAACGGGUGAGUAACGCGUGGGGAAUCUGCCUUUGAGCGGGGGACAACAUUUGGAAACGAAUGCUAAUACCGCAUAACAACUUUAAACAUAAGUUUUAAGUUUGAAAGAUGCAAUUGCAUCACUCAAAGAUGAUCCCGCGUUGUAUUAGCUAGUUGGUGAGGUAAAGGCUCACCAAGGCGAUGAUACAUAGCCGACCUGAGAGGGUGAUCGGCCACAUUGGGACUGAGACACGGCCCAAACUCCUACGGGAGGCAGCAGUAGGGAAUCUUCGGCAAUGGACGAAAGUCUGACCGAGCAACGCCGCGUGAGUGAAGAAGGUUUUCGGAUCGUAAAACUCUGUUGGUAGAGAAGAACGUUGGUGAGAGUGGAAAGCUCAUCAAGUGACGGUAACUACCCAGAAAGGGACGGCUAACCACGUG
rnacentral:rRNA from 1 species